AUCGAACGCUGGCGGCAGGCUUAACACAUGCAAGUCGAGCGGGGUGAUGGUGCUUGCACUAUCACUUAGCGGCGGACGGGUGAGUAAUGCUUAGGAAUCUGCCUAUUAGUGGGGGACAACAUCUCGAAAGGGAUGCUAAUACCGCAUACGUCCUACGGGAGAAAGCAGGGGAUCACUGGUGACCUUGCGCUAAUAGAUGAGCCUAAGUCGGAUUAGCUAGUUGGUGGGGUAAAGGCCUACCAAGGCGACGAUCUGUAGCGGGUCUGAGAGGAUGAUCCGCCACACUGGGACUGAGUAACGGGCCAGAGUCCUACGGGAGGCAGCAGUGGGGAAUAUUGGACAAUGGGGGGACCCCUGAUCCAGCCAUGCCGCGUGUGUGAAGAAGGCCUUAUGGUUGUAAAGCACUUUAAGCGAGGAGGAGGCUCUUUUGGUUAAUACCCAAGAUGAGUGGACGUUACUCGCAGAAUAAGCACCGGCUAACUCUGUGCCAGCCGCCGCGGUAA
rnacentral:rRNA from 1 species